GCUGGGUGCAGUGGCACACACCUGUAAUUCCAGUGGCUUGGGAGGCUGAGGCAUGAGGAUCGUGAGUUCAAAGCCAGCCUCAGCAAAAGCAAGGCCCUAAGCAACUCAGUGAGAUCCUGCCUCUA
rnacentral:sRNA from 1 species